GACGAACGCUGGCGGCGUGCCUAACACAUGCAAGUCGAGCGAUUUACUUCGGUAAAGAGCGGCGGACGGGUGAGUAACGCGUGGGUAACCUGCCCUGUACACACGGAUAACAUACCGAAAGGUAUGCUAAUACGAGAUAAUAUGCUUUUAUAGCAUGGUAGAAGUAUCAAAGCUUUUGCGGUGCAGGAUGGACCCGCGUCUGAUUAGCCAGUUGGUAAGGUAACGGCUUACCAAGGCGACGAUCAGUAGCCGAGCUGAGAGGGUGAUCGGCCACAUUGGAACUAAGACACGGUCCAAACUCCUACGGGAGGCAGCAGUGGGGAAUAUUGCACAAUGGGCGAAAGCCUGAUGCAGCAACGCCGCGUGAGCGAUGAAGGCCUUCGGGUCGUAAAGCUCUGUCCUCAAGGAAGAUAAUGACGGUACUUGAGGAGGAAGCCCCGGCUAACUACGUGCCAGCCGCCGCGGUAACAC
rnacentral:rRNA from 1 species